rnacentral:lncRNA from 1 species
CUUAAAAUUACCUCCAGGAGGCAAUUUCUAAUAAUCAUACGAAAUAAAACAUUGAAUUAGUUUGCAGGUUUUCACAUAUCAGCGCCUAAGGAGCUGCUUAUCUGUUAUUGUCUGCUUUCAAACAGGAACCAGAGACCACUCGCUAUGAAGCUGUUACUGUCUGCCUCAACCAGGAAAACGCUGUGAGAACGCUGAAUUCUAAAGGCCACAUAUCUAUACUGGGAAGGCCCAAAGGUCAGCUGUGGAAGCCAAGAAGUCUAUGCCAGCAGGGUGAGGGAGCUGUGCUGGUGGGAUGAGGGUUCUAUGCUGGAGCCAAGAAG